rnacentral:lncRNA from 1 species
UCAUCCACAGGCUGAUGGGGGACAAAGGAACAAUGGUUGAAGCUUGAGUCUACCUGACAAUUGGAGUUUGUCAGCAUAAGAAGUAAUUGAGUCACAAGUACACUGAAGGAAGGGCUCCCUCGAGCUGCGGGGUGAAGAGAGAAAUCACCAGCACAGACUAUGCACCCGACUGC